AAAUUUAGAAAUCGUUAAAAGAAAAAACCCCCCAAAAUUUGCUCAAUUUAAUGAUUGGGGUCGUUUCUGGAUUAUUUGGUGCAAUUGAACUGUUACCCAUGGUUGUAUGAUGCUGCUGGAGACUCUAUUAGGACCAAUUUUGUGAUUCAAUGAUGUGGGGAUGAGGAAUUGAAGGAGGCAGAUCUGCUUCCGUUCGAUGCGCCUAUGCGUGGAUUGCUUGGUUCAAUUCAGCCUUGUUGGUUCGAAAUUGGCAGUGACCCAUACGUCCAUUGGAUGCGCCAUGAAGAGACGGUUCUAGCGGUGGUGGUCCGCCACCGUGGGUAGUGUUUCCGGCGCCAAAAAUUGGAGUUGAAUGGUCCGAGUUUGCUGUUCGUUUUUGGUUGUGUGGGUAGCUUCUUUGACUGGAAAUUUCAAGCAAAUCUGAUGGAGUUUCGGUCAUUGGUUGGGUGGGUUGGAACGAGAGAAGUGAGGGUUUCAAGGUAGUAUGUUAGUCUACAGCCAAGGUGGUCGGAGGUUGGAGUUGUGGUGGCUAGAAGUGGUGUGCUGUUCGUUUUUUGUUGUGUGGGCAGCUUCUUUGACUGGAUAUUUGCAGGCAGAUCUGAUGGAGUUUUGGCCAUUGGUUGGGUGGGUUGGAACGAAUGAAGUGAGGGCUUCAAGGUGGUAUGUUGGUCGACGGUCAAGGUGGUCGGAGGUUGGAGUUGUGGUGGCCAGAAGUGGUGGCUCAAAAUCCUCAAAAUUCACCUUCUUCCUGGAAAUUUCAAGCAGUUUAUGCGAGAAAAUUAGCUCGAUUUUGCUGUGAUUUGGGGCUGUUGUUUGUGUAGGGAUGUUAGGGGUUGAUGAGGAGAUGGUGGUGGCGCAAAAAUCCGGUGGCUGUGGUGGUCGGAAGUUGGCUUCCAUGGUUGCGCCGAAAUUUUGUGCUUGAGGUCCUCAAUAUUGUAUGGUCACGUGUUUUCGAUCCUUAAGUUUGAAUUAGAAUCAGAAAGGUCCUGAUCGUGACCAUUUGUGCAAGUUUUUAAAUUUAAGUGACCAUUAGUGAAACCACCUGGAACUUAAGUGACCGUUUUUGAAAGUUUUAAACUUCAGUGAUCGUUUUGUAAUUUUUUGGUAACUUCAGUGACCGUUUGUGAAAUUAACCCGUUUAUAAACAGUUAAUAUACAUGAAUCAAACAG
rnacentral:lncRNA from 1 species